rnacentral:rRNA from 1 species
UGGGGAAUAUUGCACAAUGGACGGAAGUCUGAUGCAGCAACACCGCGUGCGGGAUGACGGCCUUCGGGUUGUAAACCGCUUUUUCUCAUGACGAAGUUUUUUGACGGUAGUGGGGGAAGAAGCACCGGCUAACUACGUGCCAGCAGCCGCGGUGAUACGUAGGGUGCGAGCGUUGUCCGGAAUUAUUGGGCGUAAAGAGCUUGUAGGCGGUUUGUCGCGUCGAUAGUGCAAACUCAGUGCUUAACGCUGAGCCUGCUGUUGAUACGGGCAGACUAGAGGAAGGUAGGGGAGAAUGGAAUUCCCGGUGGAGCGGUGGAAUGCGCAGAUAUCGGGAGGAACACCGGUGGCGAAGGCGGUUCUCUGGGCCUUUCCUGACGCUGAGAAGCGAAAGCGUGGGGAGCGAACAGG